rnacentral:rRNA from 1 species
GACGAACGCUGGCGGCGUGCUUAACACAUGCAAGUCGUACGGUAAGGCCCUUUCGGGGGUACACGAGUGGCGAACGGGUGAGUAACACGUGAGUAACCUGCCCACAACUUUGGGAUAACGCUAGGAAACUGGUGCUAAUACUGGAUAUGUGCUCCUGCUGCAUGGUGGGGGUUGGAAAGCUCCGGCGGUUGUGGAUGGACUCGCGGCCUAUCAGCUUGUUGGUGGGGUAGUGGCCUACCAAGGCGGCGACGGGUAGCCGGCCUGAGAGGGUGACCGGCCACAUUGGGACUGAGAUACGGCCCCGACUCCUACGGGAGGCAGCAGUGGGGAAUAUUGCACAAUGGGCGCAAGCCUGAUGCAGCAACGCCGCGUGCGGGAUGACGGCCUUCGGGUUGUAAACCGCUUUCAGCAGGGACGAAGCUUUUUGUGACGGUACCUGCAGAAGAAGCACCGGCUAACUACGUG